rnacentral:sRNA from 1 species
UAUGUAUAAUUGUGCAUAUAUACACUCACUUUUAAAAGAAGGCCGAAAAUGCAUUUUAGUUGCAUAAAAGCAUUUUCCAAAACUCCUCCUAUCGCAAAUAAUUUGGAUGAAAGGAAUGAGGGAAAUACCGUGAAGACAAUGAACCAUCGAAUAGGCACAAGUUUAAGAAUAUUCGCCAGUACACCAUCCGGCAAUAAUCCGUUGGAAAUAAUUCAACCUAUUAAUGCCAUAAGCAUAUUUGGAACUGGAGGACAAUUUGGCAUAACUGCUUUCGAAAAAGUCUGCAAACAUAUCGCAUAUCUCCGAAUCGACAGACGAUUCAAUCUUCAUGCAACGGGGGAAUUCCCGAACCUUCCUCUUAGAAUUCACAAACUUAUGAAAGCUACUGGGAUUACUGUAAAGAUAAUUCCUUAUCCUGACAAUAUAAUCAGAAUAACAUCUCAUAUUCUCAGUGUUGUACUGAGCCCUUGCUCUCGAAUAAUUUGUUUAAUUCAAUUAAUUAUUAAAUUUUUUAAAUUUCUUAAAAAGUCUACUUUUGACAUUACACAAGCGUCUCAAAUACGGAAUAGACUUAGGCCUCACAAUGGGAACAGAUAUAUCGAAAGUAUCAUUCAGGAUAUUAUAAAAAGACGAAAUUCGCAAAUCCAAGUCGCAAUCAGAAACCCAACUGAUGACGAAUAACAUCGAACGCAGCAGAUAAAAGUCGACACUGCCAAAAUUAAAUCUAAAUCCCAUAUCCUUUACUGGAAUAUAUUUCAUCAAACCACGCCGCAACAGAACUACAACAGACAAAGUCGAAUGGUAUCCAUCCUCAGGUUUCGCAAAUGGCAAACAUCGACAUAAAGAAACAUCCACGAUCGAAGUAAACACCAGGUCCAAAAUCCUAUCCCUAACAUUACAAAUGUCAUUCAUCUGAAACAAGCACUGGUCAAAAAUGUUCUCCCAUAAGGUAUCCAUACAAAUUGAAGAAACUAUUGAUGAAACAGGCACAUAGCCAACGGCGUUCUCUUUCGAGACCCACGAUAUCUGGGUGCAAUAUAGGAGCAAGUUAAAAUGAGAAUAUGGCCCAAAUAUUUCGUCUUGACGCUUUUAACUCAAUAUCAUCAUAAUCCGUAUUAAAAACAGAAACUGAGUACUAUUACAAACGGAGAGGGUCUUAAUGGUACAACAAUAUAGAUUUCAUUGGUUAGCAAAAUCUUUUAGUUUAUACAAUACAUUGUUGCGUGGGACCUAUGUAGAUAACGAAAAAAAUCCAAGUCAGCUUUUUCAACCGUGAUUGCAUUUUUUACUGCUGUCAAUGAAGGUUCAAACUAAAGUCAUUAAAAUAGCAAUAUGCGCUGGUAGAUGGAUUAUGAGCAAAGGGAUUGGAUUAUACGUCGUUCGCUGGGGUAUUAACUUUGCGUCUCAUAGAAUUUCCAUUGGCAUUGCCAUAUCUGUAAAGUUGAAUAAAGAAGAAAUUAUUCU